rnacentral:rRNA from 1 species
GCUUUGGGGUGGGGUGACUGCGUACCUUUUGUAUAAUGGGUCAGCGACUUAUAUUCUGUAGCAAGGUUAACCGUAUAGGGGAGCCGAAGGGAAACCGAGUCUUAACUGGGCGUUAAGUUGCAGGGUAUAGACCCGAAACCCGGUGAUCUAGCCAUGGGCAGGUUGAAGGUUGGGUAACACUAACUGGAGGACCGAACCGACUAAUGUUGAAAAAUUAGCGGAUGACUUGUGGCUGGGGGUGAAAGGCCAAUCAAACCGGGAGAUAGCUGGUUCUCCCCGAAAGCUAUUUAGGUAGCGCCUCGUGAACUCAUCUUCGGGGGUAGAGCACUGUUUCGGCUAGGGGGUCAUCCCGACUUACCAACCCGAUGCAAACUGCGAAUACCGAAGAAUGUUAUCACGGGAGACACACGGCGGGUGCUAACGUCCGUCGUGAAGAGGGAAACAACCCAGACCGCCAGCUAAGGUCCCAAAGUCACAGUUAAGUGGGAAACGAUGUGGGAAGGCUCAGACAGCCAGGAUGUUGGCUUAGAAGCAGCCAUCAUUUAAAGAAAGCGUAAUAGCUCACUGGUCGAGUCGGCCUGCGCGGAAGAUGUAACGGGGCUAAACUGUGCACCGAAGCUGCGGCAGCGACGCUUAUGCGUUGUUGGGUAGGGGAGCGUUCUGUAAGCCUGCGAAGGUGUCCUGUGAGGGAUGCUGGAGGUAUCAGAAGUGCGAAUGCUGACAUAAGUAACGAUAA